rnacentral:rRNA from 1 species
AGCAGCCGCCGCGGUAAUACGAAGGUCCCAAGCGUUGUUCGGAAUCACUGGGCGUAAAGGGAGCGUAGGCGGCGUGGUAAGUCAGAUGUGAAAUCCCGGGGCUCAACCCCGGAACUGCAUCCGAUACUGCCAUGCUUGAGGGUUGGAGAGGUAGCUGGAAUUCUUGGUGUAGCAGUGAAAUGCGUGGAUAUCAAGAGGAACACUCGUGGCGAAGGCGAGCUACUGGACAACAUCUGACGCUGAGGCUCGAAGGCCAGGGUAGCGAAAGGGAUUAGAUACCCCCGUAGUCCCUGUCUCUUAUAC